AACGAACGCUGGCGGCAUGCCUAACACAUGCAAGUCGAACGAGACCUUCGGGUCUAGUGGCGCACGGGUGCGUAACGCGUGGGAACCUGCCCUUAGGUUCGGAAUAACUCCCCGAAAGGGGUGCUAAUACCGGAUAAUGUCUUCGGACCAAAGAUUUAUCGCCUUUGGAUGGGCCCGCGUUGGAUUAGCUAGUUGGUAGGGUAAAAGCCUACCAAGGCGACGAUCCAUAGCUGGUCUGAGAGGAUGAUCAGCCACACUGGGACUGAGACACGGCCCAGACCCCUACGGGGGGGAGCAGGGGGGAAUAUUGGAAAAGGGGGGAAAGCCUGAUCCAGCAAGGCCGGGGGAGGGAUGAAGGCCUUAGGGUUGAAAAGCUUUUUUACCCGGGAUGAUAAGGACAGUACCGGGAGAAUAAGCCCCGGCAAACUCCGU
rnacentral:rRNA from 1 species